AAAUGCUCCAAUCACAUUUAAUUUUACUAUAAAAAAAAAUCAUGUACUUUGAUAUAUGUCAAAACAACUUCUGAUAACACACCAGAAUUUGUAGUUCUCUUUGAAGCCUCAUUCAUCUUAGGUAUAGUCAAGACCUAGGAAAGCUUUACAUGUCGUUCCUUUUAUAGUUGUAUUUCUGCAUCUCCCAGUUUCAUUCACUCUUGCUUUAUGGAUUUUUUAAAAAUCUGCAUAUUUCUUGUACAUAUGCAUGCAAAUGAAAGAAGGGAGUUUGUAUUGGUGCCAUUUCUCCCUUCAGUUACUCUGGUUAAUGGGAUUUGCUAGAAUAAACUCCCCCUGAUUGAAGGGUGAAAAUAAACCCUUUUGUGUAUAUCUGUACAGAGAUGUGUAUAUGGGAUGUGGUGGCACUUUGCUGAAUGUGAACUUGCCUUGUCAAUGGAAAGAUUGAAAAGUAUUAUGUUUAUUUAUACAUUUGUAUAAAUCUAUAUAUACACGUAUGUAUAUGUGUGUGUAUAGAUAAAGCUAUAUACAUAUAUUUCCCUAAAAAAUGUGUGUGUGUAAUAGAUAAACAGCCUUUGUUAAAGCAAGAUUAUACGUCGAUGGAAAACUCGAUGAUUCUGUAAGCAAGAGGAGGUGACAGCCUAGAGCACACCAUCGGUGCAUACGAAGAUGGGAGUCCUUUGGAUUAUAGUCUUGUUUAUGGUUAUUAUAAUUGAAUUCCUGCUAGAACUCUUACCAGUUCCAUUGUUCUUCAUCUUCACUGCCUUCUAAAUCAAUCUCAUCACACUUCAUUGUAUUUCCCCCCCUUUAUUAUGUCCUUCCUAGCCGAAAGCAUUUGGCUUAAGCAUAAUUCAUUAACUUCUCAGUCAUUUCUUUUAAAGAUCUUUAUCUCUGAAAUUUUCCUGAAGAUGUAGAUUUUGGUAAUAGUUUGUCUAGUAAUUUUGAGGAUUGGGGUUCCUCGUCCUGGGAAGCCAAACCCAGGGCCCUGUGCACCGUCCUGCCAGAGGAGGGCGGGAGCGUGCGGUGGCCCCAGGCCCAGCAGGACACCAGAUCCCCCCUCACAGCACCCCACCACCGCUGCGCCCACUGAUCACAUUCGAGCUUCUUUUCCUCCUUUUCUUUUUGGAUGGGUUUCUGCCCCCCAUCCUGAGUGCUCCCAGGCUAGUUUGUCUGCCUUUGGGGAGCCAGCUCUCAUAGGAUGG
rnacentral:lncRNA from 1 species